UACGUAGGGGGCAAGCGUUGUCCGGAUUUAUUGGGCGUAAAGAGCGUGUAGGCGGUUUGGUAGGUCCGUUGUGAAAACUCGAGGCUCAACCUCGAGACGCCGGCGGAAACCAUCAGGCUAGAGUCCGGAAGAGGAGAGUGGAAUUCCUGGUGUAGCGGUGAAAUGCGCAGAUAUCAGGAGGAACACCGAUGGCGAAGGCAGGUCUCUGGGCCAUAACUGACGCUGAGAAGCGAAAGCAUGGGGAGCGAACAGG
rnacentral:rRNA from 1 species